GUUAAAGUGCUGUGUGCCUUUUUUUCUUUUUCUUUUUGUAAAUAAUGCAAUGGAAAUGUAAAUAGAAUGUGAAGAAAAAGAAAUAAUAACGCCCCUACAGUCUGUAACCGGUUCUGUUCACACUUCCAUCACUGACUUUCAGGAACUCAUUUGACGAAGACUCUGCACAGAUCCACACCGUUCCACCUUUUAGGAUUUGUUAUUGUGAGAACGGCCGCACCUCAGUAAGCGUAUCUGGAGAGGGGGGUGUCUUCCAUCAAAUCAUCCUGAAGGGGAUCCUGGAGGCGAUGGAACUCCGGGUGGUUCGUCCGCUGGCGGAAGCGCAGAAAGAGGACGAUGAAGACGACUGCAGUGGUGACGAUGAAGACUGAGAGCAGACCAGCGAGGAGGGGGUCCAGAGAAGCGUGGGAACUCCACUGAACUCUUUUGAGCUCUACAAGAGAUACAUCAUGAAGACAACACAUUAUGGUUCUAAGGAUGUGGCGGGCCAGGAUUGGUCCCCAGGCUUUGAGUUUGACACCUGUGGUCUAGAGAGAGGAUGAUAUAACAACAACUGUUGGUGUGUCAGCAUUGUCACAGCCAGGAAACGACACCUAAGAGAAAGGCGGAUGCAUCCAUAAAUUGGUGGCGUCUGAUAGAAUAAUUGUUUCUAAAUUAUCACAAAAACUUUGUGUUACAUUGAGAGUCUGGUGAGAAGACAAAAGCCGUCUUUGAAACCUACCAAGAGUAAGGCUCGUAAAACUCCACUGCGUAGGGAGUGAAAGCAAGAUGAAGGUGUUCCUGUGUUCUUUCAUGUAUGGUAAUCAACAGAAAGAUAUUGUUCUAACCCAAGGACUUCAAAGCGGAGAGGAGACAGGAUCUGCCCAAUUUCCAGACGACCUCUUUUUGAAGUAUUUUACAAACUCUUUUUGAACUAUUUUAUGGACCUCUUUUUGAACUAUUUUAUGCAACUCUUUUUGAACUAUUUUACGACCUCUUCUUUUGAACUAUUCUGUAACCAAAGGCAACGCUGUUUACGACCCACUUCCCUCUGGAAGUGGAAGCGUUGGUCAGGUGGUCGGAGAAAGUCAAAUAAAGGAGGAGGAGUGCAAUCUUUUGGCAGAGCGUGCUGA